CGGGGCUGGAGAUCAGGCAGAGGGAGGAGACUAAAAUGCAGGAAGUAAAACGCUGACAGCCAGAAAAUAUCCAGAAAAUAACUGAAAGAAUGCCAACAAAGCUCUGAGGCACCAUGUUAGGAAGGUGACUAGGAAUUUGACAGAGACAGCUGAUCCUGCUCCAUCUGACUCCCUACCUGAAGCCCUAUCCAUCGCAAGGAGCAAGAAAAUGGAGAUGCCAAGACCAGGUGCCAUAAAUGCCAAUAAUUAGCAAA